rnacentral:rRNA from 1 species
CCUACGGGAGGCAGCAGUGGGGGAUAUUGCACAAUGGGGGGAACCCUGAUGCAGCGACACCGCGUGGGUGAAGAAGCGCCUCGGCGCGUAAAGCCCUGUCAGCAGGGAAGAAAAUGACGGUACCUGAAGAAGAAGCCCCGGCUAACUACGUGCCAGCAGCCGCGGUAAUACGUAGGGGGCAAGCGUUAUCCGGAUUUACUGGGUGGAAAGGGGGCGCAGACGGCGAUGCAAGCCAGGAGUGAAAGCCCGGGGCCCAACCCCGGGACUGCUCUUGGAACUGCGUGGCUGGAGUGCAGGAGGGGCAGGCGGAAUUCCUGGUGUAGCGGUGAAAUGCGUAGAUAUCAGGAGGAACACCGGUGGCGAAGGCGGCCUGCUGGACUGCAACUGACGUUGAGGCCCGAAAGCGUGGGGAGCAAACAGGAUUAGAUACCCCAGUAGU